rnacentral:tRNA from 4 species
GGAAGUGUGGCCGAGUGGUUUAAGGCUCUAGUCUUGAAAACUAGCGUAGGGGCGACCUUACCGUGAGUUCGAAUCUCACCGCUUCCGCCA